rnacentral:rRNA from 1 species
UGACACAUGUUCAACGGCCGCGGUACCCUGACCGUGCAAAGGUAGCAUAAUCACUUGUUCUCUAAAUAAGGACUUGUAUGAACGGCCACACGAGGGUUUAACUGUCUCUUACUUUUAAUCAGUGAAAUUGACCUAUCCGUGAAGAGGCGGAUAUAUUUAAAUAAGACGAGAAGACCCUAUGGAGCUUUAAUUUAAUAGUACAAACUAGUAGCUUAAAAACCCACAGGCAUUAAAUUACAGUUCAUGUACUAUAAAUUUCGGUUGGGGUGACCUCGGAGCAUAAUACAACCCCCGAGAAGUAUACACCAAGACCUUACUAGUCUAAGUGAACCUAUAUUCAUUGACCCAAUAAAUUGAUCAACGGACCAAGUUACCCUAGGGAUAACAGCGCAAUCCUAUUACAGAGUCCAUAUCGACAAUAGGGUUUACGACCUCGAUGUUGGAUCAAGACAUCCUAGUGGUGCAGCCGCUACUAAAGGU